rnacentral:ncRNA from 1 species
AGUCACUAGGGGUGCUGAAAGGCUGAGACAUACCCUUGAACCUGAACAAGGUAAUACUUGCGUUAAGGAAAGUGCG